GUAGUACAUAAACAAUUGUCAAUGUCUAUGCACAACUUGGCAAGUCUGAAAAACAGUACAAAGCGUGUUAGAACUAGAAAACAUAAAUUGUGUACGUCAAACAGCGUAAAACGUAAAGUUGUGGGCAUUGGUAGUAGUAAAUGUAAUAUGCAAACAAUAAAGACAUCUGACAGAAAUUUCUUAAUUGUGUCUGGUGAUGUAGAGUUAAACCCAGGUCCCGUAAAUACUUCAAAUAUGUCAGUAUUGACCACAAGACUAGCUCGAAUAGGACGAAAGCCAGUAAACAUUGUCGGUGAUGGUAACUGUUUAUUUCGUAGUGUAAGCCACCAGCUUUACAGAACAGAAAGUCGUCAUGCCCAAAUAAGAGCUCUUGCAAUCCAACAUUUAAUAAACUGCCCAGAACAUUUCAUAGAGUCUAAUACCGAACAAUCAUGGUCGCAUUAUUUACAGAAUAUGUCAAGGCUAGGCUCAUGGGCAGACCAUAUUAUCAUACAGGCAGUUGCGAAUACAAAUAAUUUAAGAAUUCACAUCACAGAAAGUGCACAAAAUUUUACUGAAACUACAGUUGUAACCUCUAUUUAUGCUCAGG
rnacentral:lncRNA from 1 species